AGAGUUUGAUCCUGGCUCAGAACGAACGCUGGCGGCGCGUUUUAAGCAUGCAAGUCGAGCGGCAGGGGGGCUUCGGUCCCCCGAGAGCGGCGGACGGGUGAGUAACACGUGGACAACCUGCCCCCCGGUUCGGGAUAGCCCAGGGAAACCUGGAUCAAUACCGGAUGCGAGGGCGGCCGCACAAGCGGCCGUCGGGAAAGGCGCUUCGGCGCCGCCGGGGGAUGGGUCCGCGUCCCAUUAGCUAGACGGUGGGGUGACGGCCCACCGUGGCGAUGAUGGGUAGCCGGCCUGAGAGGGUGGACGGCCACAUUGGAACUGAGACACGGUCCAGACUCCUACGGGAGGCAGCAGCUAAGAAUCUUCCGCAAUGGGCGAAAGCCUGACGGAGCGACGCCGCGUGAACGAAGAAGGCCGUGAGGUUGUAAAGUUCUUUUCGGGAGGGGGAACGAGGCUGCCAGGCAAUGGGCGGCCGAUGACGUGAAUCCCGGAAUAAGCCCCGGCUAACUACGUGCCAGCAGCCGCGGUAACACGUAGGGGGCGAGCGUUGUUCGGAAUCAUUGGGCGUAAAGGGCGUGCAGGCGGCCGCCAAAGUCCGGCGUGAAAGACCCAGGCUCAACCUGGGGGGUGCGCCGGAUACUGGGCGGCUUGAGUACAGGAGGGGACGGCGGAAUUCCAGGUGUAGGGGUGAAAUCUGUAGAUAUCUGGAGGAACACCGAUGGCGAAGGCAGCCGUCUGGCCAUGUACUGACGCUGAGGCGCGAAGGUGCGGGGAGCAAACAGGUUUAGAUACCCUGGUAGUCCGCACA
rnacentral:rRNA from 1 species